rnacentral:sRNA from 1 species
AGGAGAUGGAGGAGAGCCUAGGGGUGCAGAGGAAAGUCUCGAAGGCGCUGGUUGAGGAGGGGCUGGGUCGAGAGGAGCUGGGACGGGGGAAGAGUAGAGUCUAAAGUCCUUGAGGGCUAAGGAGAGAAGUUGAGGUAGGGACUGGUCGGAAUACAUGGGUGGGGGCGUGGUAAGAGUGUAGUUUUUGGGAGGCUAUAGAGUUGGAAGGGGCUGGUGGCUGCGGUUUUGAUGCUGACAUGACCAUAUACUUGGCCUUUGUUUCUCUGCAGCUCCCCAGAGACGCUCAUCCUACAGCCUCAGCUCGGGCCCAGCCUUCUCUCUCCAGCUGCCACCACAGCCUGGAGGCGCCUGCCUCCACCCUCCCGAAUGGUGCUCCUCCUAGCAGGCCUCGGCCCAGGAUCCAAGCCCCCUUUGCCCCCUGCCUUGGAGCUGUUGCUCCGGGUUUGUCAUAGUGGACUCCCUGUGGCGGGAAGGGAAGAACUUUUGCACAGACAAGGCUUCAGCUCUAGGAACCCCACUGACAACUUGAAUCUCAACCUCUAACCUAGUGUGAGGUUCUUCCUGUGCCCACCUUUUCUGCCUUUUGAGAAGAGAAACUCUUCUCCUGGCCAUCUAGAGCCCAGGAAGCCCCAAGCUGGGGCCCUGGUCCCAGCAUGUCAGUCCUCUCUUGUGCAUAGGGCUCUGCCCUCCCCCUGUCAGCAUGGCUGAGCUCAGACAGGUUCCAGGAGGGCGGGAGACCCCACAGGGGGAGCUGCGGCCUGAAGUUGUAGAGGAUGAAGUACCUAGGAGCCCAGUCGCAGAAGAGCCUGGAGGAGGUGGAAGCAGCAGCAGUGAGGCCAAAUUGUCCCCAAGAGAGGAAGAAGAACUGGAUCCUAGAAUACAGCUGAGUGCCAGGAGUCCCUGGUGAAGCAGGCCAAAUGGAAUGUGUUGCUGACUGCCCAAAACCAUCCCAGGUCCUCAGUGGAUUCCUGCUCUGCCUUUCCUUGGGUGUCCCCUAGUAGUAACAACUUAUGCUGAGCCAUCCAAUCCAUUGAUGAUCUCGUCAGGAGCUGGAAGUUGAUGACUGAAAGCAUUUGAGGCCAUGGAAUCCAGUGGGGAUCCAGUCUUGGUCUUUGAUUUGCCACAUGAACAUUGCAGGGUGGCCUUUAACAACUGACCCCCCAUAAUCAAUGUUUGUUGCAUUUCCAAUCCCUGUCCUUUUUCUACGUGGGCUGUGGUUUUCCUAGAUUACAGCACUUCUUUCUUUACUGAGAUGUCCUUCCAGUGGUGUCCUCUGUCCCAGGAGGGUGGCGACAGUGGAAGGAAAGUGAGAUCAAAGAUCGGUCCUGGAUCCAGACCCAAGUCUGUCACUAAUUUUCCGCCUGGUUGUUUCUCAUCUGUCAAAUGCAAAGUUGCUGAGGAAGAAUAUUCCAGUAGGAGGUGCUGAAAAAACUGGUCACUCGUCUCCCAGAUAACCUAAAAGCCCCUGUAGGCCACGUGAAGCCCCAGGAAGCUGGGCCCCCGGGGAGGAGGAGUUGGAGCACCUGAACCAGGCCAGCGAGGAGAUCAACCAGGUGGAACUACAGCUGGACGAGGCCAGGACCACCUAUCGGAGGAUCCUGCAGGAGUCGGCGAGGAAACUGAAUACACAGGGUUCCCACUUGGGGAGCUGCAUCGAGAAAGCCCGGCCCUACUAUGAGGCUCGGCGGCUGGCUAAGGAGGGGAAAAGGCUAGCAGCCUUUGGGAGUGCUGGAUUUCACACACCUACCCCCCUCUGGCAAAAUUUUUAUUUCUUCUAGUCCAUAUCCUUAUGAAAUAUUCUUUAUAGAAUGUUGCUUCCUUGGCAUUUAUCCUCAGCACAGUUUGGGAAAUGAAGCCGACAUUGCUAGCUCAGCAGGAGACACAGAAGGCAGCGCUGCGGUACGAGCGGGCCGUAAGCAUGCACAACGCUGCUCGGGAAAUGGUGUUUGUGGCUGAGCAGGGCGUCAUGGCUGACAAGAACCGACUGGACCCCACGUGGCAGGAGAUGCUGAACCAUGCUACCUGCAAGGUGAAUGAGGCGGAGGAAGAGCGGCUUCGAGGUGAGCGGGAGCACCAGCGAGUGACUCGGCUGUGCCAACAGGCUGAGGCUCGGGUCCAAGCCCUGCAGAAGACCCUCCGGAGGGCCAUCGGCAAGAGCCGCCCCUACUUUGAGCUCAAGGCCCAGUUCAGCCAGAUCCUGGAGGAGCACAAGGCCAAGGUGACAGAACUGGAGCAGCAGGUAGCUCAGGCCAAGACGCGCUACUCCGUGGCCCUUCGUAACCUGGAGCAGAUCAGCGAGCAGAUUCACGCGCGGCGCCGCGGGGAUCUGCCUCCCCACCCGCUGGGCCCUCGGCGCUCCUCCCCCGUGGGGGCUGAAGCAGGACCUGAGGACACAGAGGACGGAGACAGCGGGAUUGAGGGGGCCGAGGGUGCGGGGCUGGAGGAGGGCAGCAGCCUGGGGCCCGGCCCCGCCCCCGACACCGAUACGCUGAGUCUGCUGAGCCUGCGCACGGUGGCCUCAGACCUGCAGAAGUGCGACUCCGUGGAGCACUUGCGAGGCCUCUCGGACCACGUCAGUCUGGACGGCCAAGAGCUGGGAACCCGGAGUGGAGGGCGCCGGGGCAGCGACGGCGGAGUCCGUGGGGGUCGGCACCAGCGCAGCGUCAGCCUGUAGCCGAGGGGCCAGGGUUCCUGGCUUGAAUCUGCUACCACGGGCCGGUUGGGGCCCACAGUCUUCUCACGCCCUCUCCUCUGGGGCCUCGUCUUCCCGAAGGUCCCCUUCUCCAGUGCUUCCCUGGGAGAGGCCAGCUGUGUUCGAGUCCUCUGUGCCUGCCCUGGCGUUCUCACAGCCGCCCCCGUCCCCUCAGCAGGCAGCUCUCUUUGCCUUACCCAUUCAGAAGGCUUGCCCUCGGCGCUCUGUCUGCCUCUGCCUGCUGGCUCAUCACAAUCUGCGGGGCAUUGACCCUUUGCUUUCCCUUUCUGCUCCCUCUCUUUCCAUCUGUUUGGCUUUUUCCCUCAGGGAACUUGGUCUAGAAGGCACUGGGAAGCUCAUCAGAGAAAAUGGGUGCUGGGCCUGAGUACUCCCGUCGGAGGGGAUGGACAGUCACCCCUCCCGUUGGUUUCCGGCCCCGCCCCCCUUCCCAAGGCAACUCUGGAGAGUACCCUAGGUAUGCUGCUGAGCCCUGCACCCCCGUCCUGCUCCAGCCUGCCCGUGUGUAACCCGUAAGAUGUACUGUGUGCCUCUGGAAGACACCACCUUUCCCUUCAGCAUUCCCUUUCAUGACCUGAGGCACUCUGCGAUGUGUUCCCCAAAGCAGAACUUACAGGACCUGCAGGAAGCUGGUGUCAGGGAGAGAAACCCAACCCUGCUGUCAACAUAGGGAGUAUCACCAACUCCAGACUGGCUCCUGUGGGUAUGGUGUUUCCGCUGGGCUGGGUCCUCAACAUUGCCAGGGUGCUAGUGGGUCCUUAACAGGGCCCAUGUUGGGGGUGAAGUCAUGAGGUCCUGAAGGCUUAGGCCCCUGUCAUUCCCACCCUCACUCUUGCUGCACAGUUGUGUUUACCUUUUCUGGGUAGAGGAUGCUGAACUGACUCAGCACCCUCCUGCAGGGCAGGGUUAGGGAAUUUGGUGCUCAAUUGUUCUCCCUUGCUCUUCCCCAAACUGAACAAUACCUACUGCAGGAUCCCUCGGGGCACACUGAAGCUUGGCUGCCAACCCUCUUACUUCCUUUGCUACAGGGAGGGGUUGGCUUGGGGUGAAAAGUUCUGCCCUCCGCAGGGAGCAGCUCCAGCUGCCUGGCAGUGCUCCCAGUUUGUAGGGAAGCCACACCAGAUCUGGGUGCCUUGGGAGAACCGGUCCUUCCUUUUGACCCACCCCAGGAUGAUGGAGUGCUCUCGUCUAGGCCCAUGUUCUGCCAGCGACCGGGAUGAGUGGGCAACUAGACUCUGCACGGGGGUCUACAGGUUGAGGGAGGUUGGUCACAAUGAGAACCUCGGGGUUUGAGGUGGCCAUGGGCAGAGAGCAGAAAGGGAGGGAGGGUGUGGGUGUGCGUAUGUGCAUGUGCUGGUGUGUAAGGGGGAAAGGGUCUUUCCUGGUUUUAUUUAAAUAAAGUAGUUUAUGUAAC